UACGUUUGCGCGUAUUUAUAACGCAGCUUUUAGCAACGAGUUACUUUUGUGAUAACAAAUAAAAAACAUCGCCCGAUAAGCUCAACUCGGCGCGGUGGAGAGACGAACUUUGAAACCAAUUGUUUUGUUUCUGUCUUACAUAUAUGGGAAACUAGUUGACACAAGUGUAUACACAGCAUAAUGACUCGAAGGUUAGCGAAAAUCUUCGGGAACAGCGUUCUGCCGAGUAUAUAAGCAGCCGCAUCGCCGAUGGAAGUCAGUUGUGAGUUCAGUGAACAAAAGCGCGGAAUAUUGGCGAAGAUUUAAAUAGCUGUAAAUAAAUACAAUCAAUGUUUCUAGAAGUCGUGUGUUUAUAGCGUAAAUGUGUAAAUAAAUUAGUUGACCAUU